GACUUGUGUGUGUUGCUGUUCAGCGGUCUGCAUUCAAAAGAGUGUUACGACAUGCGGCAGUGGCGCCGUAAAAUUUGCAACUGGGUCGCCGCUGGCCUUAAUUGAUCGGUGGCGUCUGCUCGGUUGCUCGUUUACUGUGAGAAAAUUGGAGUGUUCAAGGCAGGCGUGGAUUGCAACUGAACAUGUUAGCAUGGAAUAAUAAGAUAGGGCUCCGGCUCAUAUUUUGUUGGUUUCUAGAGCGUGGGAGUAAUGAUUGAUAGGGACAGUUGGGGGUGCUAGUAUUCAGCGGCCAGAGGUGAAAUUCAUGGAUUCGCUGAAGACUGACUUAUGCGAAAGCAUU
rnacentral:rRNA from 1 species